GUGGCCUGACUUGAUUUGAUUUUAAUUUGAAGUGGGACAAACAAGACAAAUUGUUGCGGCGGCAGACUGUCAGUGGUAUCUUCUGGUAGGUUUACUUACUUACACACACAUGUGGCGCGAACGAAUUAGAGUUGGCUGAUUGAUUGAUUGUUACGCGGAAAGCAAUUCAGUUUGGUUCGUGGUCGGCCAGCUGACGCGGAUAGUAUAUGCGCGAGCGACAGUCAGAUACGACGGUUGGGUUGCCAAGGUGCCAGCAGACUCCCAGGUAUGGCAUGAGCUAUCUGUGUUCGUCCAACCAAGCUCUCCGUAGGUUUCAUGUCUGAGGCAGUGAAAACCAAAACGUUCAGUUUUUUUUUUUUUUGCCAAGAACGCCCUAGGUGUUGUUUUGCGAUACACAUGUUCGACCGCUACACUAUUUGAUGUCUCUACACUAUUUGUAUUUUUAUAUAAAUUCAGUAGACAUAAGAAAAAUUGACUUAAAAUAAUUUUAGAAACUAAUUUAUUUAGGAAUAGAGGGAGUACAUCAAAGAAGUCACCUUCACUCCUCACACUGAGGUAAAAGGCCCAUGUAAAUGAAUUAUCGUCAUAUAAGAUCAAGUAGAUACUAUCUUCAUUCAAGCCGGAUAUGAUUGCCUUCGUUCAAUCGUUGGCAUAUGGUAAUAAGGAAAAACACAAACAAACAAACAACAUCAAUAAUGCAUCUACUUUCUUUGGCCAUAUAUAUGUUUGGUUUUCUCACCCAUGGAGCUUGUCUCGCCUCAUGUUGCCUUGCCGGCAUAAGAGAGUCAAAUUGUAUUGUCCAUCUAAGUAAAUAAAAACCUUGCUUUCAUCAUGAGCUAAAAAGGCCGCUGGAAAGAGAUCCCACAACAAUUGUU
rnacentral:lncRNA from 1 species